CAGACCAGCUGGCCCGGCUCAUCGAUGAGAGAUGCUAUUUGAGUUGUCAUUUCCGUUGCCAGGCCUCACAUCUGUAGCUUGGGAUGCACCCACUUGUCUCUGGGAUCUGCAUCUGCUCCUGGAGCUCAUUCAAAGAGAAUGGCUCUUGGAAUCAAGGUCCACUGUGGAGAAAGAUGGCCUUUCCUCUGUCCAGUGAAGAGAUUUCUCCUUGGGUGCCGCCUCUGGACAUCUUGGAACCUGGAAGAAUUUGCCAUGGAAGCAAUGACAAUCUUGUCAUAGAAGCAGUGGUGAUCAGAGCAAGAAAUGAACCAAUACAUCAUCUGGACUGACUCCUGUGUCAUAUACAUAGGAAACUGAGACCCAGAGAGGAAAAGAAGUUCCAGGCAUCAGUGUGUUGGGGCCACUGGCAUAAACAGUGAACGGCUUGGUGUAAAACCAGAGUCCAGUUGCUGAAGGCCUGCUUCCCUCCACUAAACACCCUAUAUCUCCUUAUAAAGUAAAGGGUAGAGGGGAAAAGGGGACAUUUUUGGAAUUAAGAGCAUUAUGCUCACCUAUAUAUUUACUAAUCAUGGAGGCCAGUUAAUGUUCUAUGUUUGGGAGAUUGGGACCCUGGGGGCCUAACUUGGAGUCUCAUCUCUACCCUGUUCUAGCUGGAUGACUUUGAGUGAAGAACCCAUCUCC